AUGGGCUUUUCAUAGCUUUUCCUCUUGGAGCACUAAGUGGUAAUAUUUUCUAUUCGGCAAAGUUUCAUGUUGCCGCCUCUACGCAUUUUAUACCCUCAGUCCGGUCAAACUGCACAUGUUCCCUCUCGGGAUAACGCCAGCUCUUCUCUAUAACACUUUUACAGAAAUGCACCACCUCUAAGUAUAAUACUUUUACCGCCAAUUCGGUCAAGCUAUACAUUUUGU